GGGGGGGGGGGGGGGGGGGGGGGGGGGGGGGGGGGGGGGGGGGGGGGGGGGGAGGGCGGGCGGGGGCGGGGGGCGGGGGGCGGGCGGGUGAGGAAGACAGCGGAAUCUACUUUUUCGUGGGGGAUAACGUAGGGGAACUUACGCUAAUACCGCAUACGACCUACGGGUGAAAGCAGGGGAUCUUCGGACCUUGCGCGAUUGAAUGAGCCGAUGUCGGAUUAGCUAGUUGGCGGGGUAAAGGCCCACCAAGGCGACGAUCCGUAGCUGGUCUGAGAGGAUGAUCAGCCACACUGAAACUGAGACACGGUCCAGACUCCUACGGGAGGCAGCAGUGGGGAAUAUUGGACAAAGGGCGCAAGCCUGAUCCAGCCAUACCGCGUGGGUGAAGAAGGCCUUCGUGUUGUAAAGCCCUUUUGUUGGGAAAGAAAAGCAGCAGGUUAAUACCCCGCUGUUCUGACGGUACCCAAAGAAUAAGCACCGGCUAACUUCGUG
rnacentral:rRNA from 1 species